rnacentral:rRNA from 1 species
AGAUUGAACGCUGGCGGCAUGCCUUACACAUGCAAGUCGAACGGCAGCACGGGAGCAAUCCUGGUGGCGAGUGGGCGAACGGGUGAGUAAUAUAUCGGAACGUGCCCAGUCGUGGGGGGAUAACGCAGUGAAGCUGUGCUAAUACCGCAUACGAUCUAUGGAUGAAAGCGGGGGACUCGACAAGAGCCUCGACGCGAUUGGAGCCGGCCGAUAUCACGAUUAGACUAGUUGGUGGGUAAAAGCCCACAAGGCGACGAUCUGUAGCUGGUCUGAGAGGACGACAGCCACACUGAACUGAGAC